GACACCGGUAAUGGUGCACCUGCUUAGCAGGUUGGGGUUCAAUUCCCUGUGGUGUC
rnacentral:sRNA from 1 species